rnacentral:rRNA from 1 species
UACGUAGGCAGCGAGCGUUGUUCGGAAUUACUGGGCGUAAAGAGUGUGUAGGCGGUGUUCCCAGUCUGUUGUGAAAUCUCCCGGCUUAACUGGGAGGGUGCAGCGGAAAUUAGAAUGCUAGAGGGUGGGAGAGGUAAGCGGAAUUCCUGGUGUAGCGGUGAAAUGCGUAGAUAUCAGGAGGAACACCUGUGGUGUAGACAGCUUACUGGACCACUUCUGACGCUGAGACACGAAAGCGUGGGUAGCAAACAGG